AUUGAACGCUGGCGGUAUGCUUUACACAUGCAAGUCGAACGGUAGAGGGGCAACCCUUGAGAGUGGCGAACGGGUGAGUCAUACAUCGGAACGUGCCCAGUCGUGGGGGAUAACGUAGCGAAAGCUCCGCUAAUACCGCAUACGACCGGAGGGUGAAAGCGGGGGACCUGCAAGGGCGCCGAGCGAUUGGAUCGGCCGGUGGCAGAUUAGGUAGUUGGUGAGGUAAAGGCUCACCAAGCCGACGAUCUGUAGCUGGUCUGAGAGGACGACCAGCCACACUGGGACUGAGACACGGCCCAGACUCCUACGGGAGGCAGCAGUGGGGAAUUUUGGACAAUGGGCGCAAGCCUGAUCCAGCCAUACCGCGUGCAGGAAGAAGGCCUUCGGGUUGUAAACUGCUUUUGUCAGGGAAGAAAUCUUCUGGGCUAAUACCCUGGGAGGAUGACGGUACCUGAAGAAUAAGCACCGGCUAACUACGUGCCAGCCGCCGCCGUAACAC
rnacentral:rRNA from 1 species